rnacentral:lncRNA from 1 species
CUUCAGAGGGUUAUUCUACCUACGCUUAAGUGAGCCACAACUUCAAUCUCAAGCAGAUUCUAGGCACUCUUAUAAGUGAAGCAGGAAAAGGCAAUCACAUAUGCAGACCAUGCUGGCACGGAGAAAAGCUGUCUGAUCAACAGGGGAAAAUAUAAAUAAGACUGAGGAUCUGACUGAGCCAUGGAGAUGCCUCAAUUCUCUCAAUUGAACAUAUGCUUGUUUAUCAUUGAAAUUCAACUGUGC